rnacentral:rRNA from 1 species
GACGAACGCUGGCGGCGUGCUUAACACAUGCAAGUCGAACGGAAAGGCCCUGCUUUUGUGGGGUGCUCGAGUGGCGAACGGGUGAGUAACACGUGGGUAACCUGCCCUUAACUUUGGGAUAACUUCAGGAAACUGGGGCUAAUACCGGAUAGGAGCUCCUGCUGCAUGGUGGGGGUUGGAAAGUUUCGGCGGUUGGGGAUGGACUCGCGGCUUAUCAGCUUGUUGGUGGGGUAGUGGCUUACCAAGGCUUUGACGGGUAGCCGGCCUGAGAGGGUGACCGGCCACAUUGGGACUGAGAUACGGCCCAGACUCCUACGGGAGGCAGCAGUGGGGAAUAUUGCACAAUGGGCGGAAGCCUGAUGCAGCAACGCCGCGUGCGGGAUGACGGCCUUCGGGUUGUAAACCGCUUUCGCCUGUGACGAAGCGUGAGUGACGGUAAUGGGUAAAGAAGCACCGGCUAACUACGUG